UACGUAGGGUGCAAGCGUUAAUCGGAAUUACUGGGCGUAAAGCGUGCGCAGGCGGUUUUGUAAGACAGAGGUGAAAUCCCCGGGCUCAACCUGGGAACUGCCUUUGUGACUGCAAGGCUAGAGUGCGGCAGAGGGGGAUGGAAUUCCGCGUGUAGCAGUGAAAUGCGUAGAUAUGCGGAGGAACACCGAUGGCGAAGGCAAUCCCCUGGGCCUGCACUGACGCUCAUGCACGAAAGCGUGGGGAGCAAACAGG
rnacentral:rRNA from 1 species